ACAAUGGCUUGGGCAAGAAAACUGGUUACAGAUAAGAGCAAUCUGUGCAUAUUGCAAAACAAAAGAAAAUAUCAAUAUGGUUAAGAGAGAAGAUACCGCCUUUGAAAAGAUAAUAAGAGAAAAAGGGGAAGGAAAGAAGGCACAGGCCAGCAAAAUAUAUACAAUGCUAAUAGAGGCCGAUGGAUGUACAAUACAGGACUUGAAAACUAUGUGGGAAACGGAGUUACAAAUCUCGGAACAAGAAAUGAGAAAUGUGGAGGAAAAUAUUGCACAAAUGGUAUCGCACACCCUGCCAAUUAGCAUACUACUAUAAAGAGGGGAGUAGUCAGCGCUGGCAUGGAUGCCACCAGAAAGGGCACUUUAUGCACAUGAUGUGGGAAUGCGAAUAUGUACAAGAUUUUUGGCAAACUAUACAAAAUGUGUCAAAUCAAAUAUUAGGACAUGAGUGGGUCAUAACAAAGGAAUUAGCGGUAUUAGGGAAAAGAGAGGAAAUGGGAAAUAAAAGGGAAAUAAAAGAAGCAAUAAUUGAAUGUGCACAAGCAGUAAUAGUAUUAGGGUGGAAAGAUAAAUCAAAAUGGACAAUAAAUAAAUGGUACCAUUAUAUGGUGGAGCAAAUGGAAUUCGAAA